rnacentral:rRNA from 1 species
ACGAGGGGGGCAAGUGUUGUUCGGAAUCACUGGGCGUAAAGGGAGCGUAGGCGGGAAUGUAAGUUGGGAGUUUAAAGCGGGGGCCUAACCCCCGUGUGGCUUUCAAAACUGCAUUUCUUGAGUAGGGCAGAGGUUGGCGGAAUUUCCGGUGUAGCGGUGGAAUGCGUAGAUAUCGGAAAGAACACCGAUUGCGAAGGCAGCCAACUGGGUCCAUACUGACGCUGAGGCUCGAAAGCGUGGGGAGCGAACAG